CCUACGGGUGGCUGCAGUGGGGAAUAUUGGGCAAUGGGCGCAAGCCUGAUCCUGCAACGCCGCGUGAAGGAAUAAGGCUUUCUGGUUGUAAACUUCUUUUGUCAGGGACGAAGCAAGUGACGGUACCUGACGAAUAAGCCACGGCUAACUACGUGCCAGCAGCCGCGGUAAUACGUAGGUGGCAAGCGUUAUUCGGAUUUAUUGGGGGUAAUGGGCGUGUAGGCGGGUUUGCAAGUCAGAUGUGAAAACCACGGGCUCAACCGGUGGCCUGCAUAUGAAACUGUAGUUCUUGAGUACUGGAGGGGCAGACGGAAUUCCUGGUGUAGCGGUGAAAUGCGUAGAUAUUGGGAGGAACACCAGUGGCGAAGGCGGUCUGCUGGACAGCAACUGACGCUGAGGCGCGAAGGCGUGGGGAGCAAACAGGAUUAGAUACCCCAGUAGUC
rnacentral:rRNA from 1 species